rnacentral:rRNA from 1 species
GAGUAACACGUGGGUAAUCUGCCCUGGAGUGGGGAAUAACACCGGGAAACCGGUGCUAAUACCGCAUACGAUAGCGGGAUCUGCGGAUUUCGUUAUGAAAGGAGCAAUUCGCUCUAGGAGGAGCCCGCGGCUGAUUAGCUAGUUGGUGAGGUAAUGGCUCACCAAGGCUACGAUCAGUAUCCGGUCUGAGAGGACGGUCGGACACACUGGAACUGAGACACGGUCCAGACUCCUACGGGAGGCAGCAGUGGGGAAUUUUUGGCAAUGGGGGCAACCCUGACCAAGCAACGCCGCGUGGGUGAUGAAGUCUCUUGGGACGUAAAACCCUUUCGACGGGGAAGAAACCGCAAGGUUGACGGUACCCGUAGAAGAAGCCCCGGCUAACUCCGUGCCAGCAGCCGCGGUAAUACGGGGGGGCAAGCGUUGUUCGGAAUUACUGGGCGUAAAGGGUGCGUAGGCGGUCUGUUAAGUUGGAUGUGAAAACUCUGGGCUCAACCCAGAGCCUGCAUCCAAAACUGGCAGGCUAGAGUUCUGGAGGGGGUAGCGGAAUUCCUGGUGUAGCGGUGAAAUGC